rnacentral:rRNA from 1 species
UACGAAGGGGGCUAGCGUUGUUCGGAAUUACUGGGCGUAAAGCGCGCGCAGGCGGCUAUCCAAGUCAGUGGUGAAAGCCCGGAGCUCAACUCCGGAACUGCCAUUGAAACUGUUUAGCUUGAGGACGAGAGAGGUGAGUGGAAUUCCCAGUGUAGAGGUGAAAUUCGUAGAUAUUGGGAAGAACACCGGUGGCGAAGACGGCUCACUGGCUCGUAUCUGACGCUCAGGCGCGACAGCGUGGGGAUCAAACAGG